UACAGAGGUCUCAAGCGUUGUUCGGAUUCAUUGGGCGUAAAGGGUGCGUAGGCGGCGCGGUAAGUCGGGUGUGAAAUCUCGGAGCUUAACUCCGAAACUGCAUUCGAUACUGCCGUGCUUGAGGACUGGAGAGGAGACUGGAAUUUACGGUGUAGCGGUGAAAUGCGUAGAUAUCGGGAGGAACACCAGUGGCGAAGGCGGCGAUCUGGGUCGAUACUGACGCUGAGGUGCGAAAGCGUGGGGAGCAAACAGG
rnacentral:rRNA from 1 species